rfam:Beta vulgaris subsp. vulgaris chromosome 5, whole genome shotgun sequence.
AAACCAUGAUGAGGACAAAGAUGAUGCAAAUCCUUGAACUUCUCCCAAGCUUCAUACAAGACUCACCAGAAUCUCAUGUGAAACUAACUAUGGCAUAUCGCACAUCUGUAGUAU